AGAUGAACUCUCGUGGCCCGUGAAAUCAAGCGUGGGUGAGACCUGGUGCAGAAGGGAAGGCGACCCAUACUUGGUUUCAGAGGCUGUGAGGAAA
rnacentral:pre_miRNA from 1 species